AGGCGGGAUUGGGAGGAGGGUUAAAGAGCGCGCAGCAGGUUGGGCCACGAGUGUCAAAGAAGGUUCAAUGGCGUGGCAGGGACUGGCGGCCGAGUUCCUGCAGGUGCCAGCGGUUACGCGGACCUACACCUCGGCCUGUGUCCUUACCACCGCAGCUGUGCAACUGGAGCUCCUCAGCCCCUUCCAGCUCUAUUUCAACCCGCACCUCGUGUUCCGGAAGUUUCAGGUCUGGAGGCUCGUCACCAACUUCCUCUUCUUUGGGCCCCUGGGAUUCAGCUUCUUCUUCAACAUGCUCUUCGUGUUUCGCUACUGCCGCAUGCUGGAGGAGGGCUCCUUCCGUGGCCGCACGGCCGACUUCGUCUUCAUGUUUCUCUUCGGGGGCGUCCUCAUGACCCUGCUGGGGCUCCUGGGCAGCCUGUUCUUCUUGGGCCAGGCCCUCACUGUCAUGCUGGUGUAUGUCUGGAGUCGCCGCAACCCCCGAGUGAGGGUCAACUUCUUUGGCCUCCUCACCUUCCAGGCACCAUUUCUGCCCUGGGCACUCAUGGGUUUCUCACUGCUGCUGGGCAACUCAAUCCUUGUCGACCUGCUGGGGAUUGCUGUGGGCCACGUUUACUACUUCCUAGAGGAUGUUUUCCCCAACCAGCCUGGAGGCAAGAGGUUGCUGCUGACCCCCAGUUUCCUGCCUUCCAGUGAAGCCCAGGUGUCCCCUUGCUGUGGGGCUCCAACAAGUUCCACUCCUGGAUGAAGGGCAGGGGGCUUGAGUACAAACUCCCCGGGAGCCAGGAGCCAUCACGUCCCAGGACAUGAUCACAGGACCCCAAGCCCAGAGGGCUAGGAUGGCCCCGGCCUGCCCCUUUGCCUCCCUCCUUGCCAGAAGAUGAAGGAGAGGCGGUCCGAUCUUCUCAAUGCUCCGUGGGAGCCAUGCGCAGACGGGCUGGUUACCAAGCUGGGGCCGUGUUGGCAAGACGCCUCAUACGCCUGCAGGAGGAGAGGAGGUGAUGACCCGGAGCCAGCUUCCAGCCCUGGGUGACUGCCCUCCCCUAGGGAUCUCUAGCACAGCCAAGGGAGCGGGGACGGAAACAGGAUACAAAAGGUGGGAUCCCCAGCCCCUCCCUCGGCCAGAGCCUGUCCCCUGCUUGACGCCCUGACAAUGCUCUCUCUCCUGCCUGCUCAUGUCUUGCCUAUGUCUCCAGGGUUCUAGACACAUAGGUCUGGGCUGUGGUCAGAUCCAACCUGAGGGCUUAACUUUUGUUCCCUGAAGGAAAACCCACCUGGGGUCUAGAUUGGGACUCAUCACCCAGGGCCUGCCUCUGGCCAUGCAGGUACCUUCCCAGAACCAGGGUCCCUCCCCUGCCUGCAAGACAGUGGCUGUGUGCAGAGCAAGCUGCAAGGAGCCUGAAGGGGGAGGGGUACCUUGUGUUCCUGUCCUGGUCUCGGAUCUUCUUUUCCAUCUCAGCGUCUGUCAGAGUCUCCAGCAGUGGGCACCAUUGGUCAGCAUCGCCUGUGUUCCGGAUGGCAAUCUCCACCGUGGCCAGGCGGCCUGCACCUGUCUCUCAAGGCCCAGCACCCCCAGAAGGCUGACCCUGCUCCACUGCAGCCCUAUCAAGUGUCUGCCCACCUCAGCCUGGAGCCCUGCACAGCACAGUUCCCUCUGAGAAGAAUGAAGGCAGGCAGGGCCCAGGGGAGGCAGGGGAGGACACUGACAAAAUAAAAGAGGAUGGACCCCUGA